AUAUUGAAAAAUUGAUGACAUCCUGCGAAAAAAUAAUGAUAUGCUGUAUAGAAAGUUAUAAUUUCAAUGCAGGAUGCCAUAAUAUCAGCACGGGAUGUCAUAAUUUCUUCGAAAGAAAAGGAGUAUUUUCGUCAUUCAAAAUUUCAAAUGAAAAGGUAGAACUAUGGACAUUAAAUGUGCUUUGAAAAGCGAUGGCUACAUGAUCCAAUAGAACGAAGCGGUGCGCUCCACGUC
rnacentral:lncRNA from 1 species